rnacentral:rRNA from 1 species
CGGGUGAGUAACACGUGGGUGACCUGCCUUCGAGUGGGGGAUAACGUCCCGAAAGGGGCGCUAAUACCGCAUGACAUCCUGCGUUUGGAGACGCGGACAUUAAAGCCGGGAUCGCAAGACCUGGCGCUUGAAGAGGGGCCCGCGGCCGAUUAGCUAGUUGGUGAGGUAACGGCUCACCAAGGCAACGAUCGGUAUCCGGCCUGAGAGGGCGGACGGACACACUGGGACUGAGACACGGCCCAGACUCCUACGGGAGGCAGCAGUGGGGAAUUGUUCGCAAUGGGCGCAAGCCUGACGACGCAACGCCGCGUGGAGGACGAAGAUCUUCGGGUCGUAAACUCCUUUCGAUCGGGAAGAACGGCUUCUGGGUGAACAAUCCGGAAGAAUGACGGUACCGAGAGAAGAAGCCCCGGCUAACUCCGUGCCAGCAGCCGCGGUAAUACGGGGGGGGCAAGCGUUGUUCGGAAUUACUGGGCGUAAAGGGCUCGUAGGCGGCCGACUCAGUCGGAUGUGAAAUCCCCAGGCUUAACUUGGGAAUGGCAUCCGAUACUGGUUGGCUUGAAUCCGGGAGAGGGAUGCGGAAUUCCAGGUGUAGCGGUGAAAUGCGUAGAUAUCUGGAGGAAC